GGGCGGAGUCAGGGUAGAGGCCCCCGCCGAGAAAGGGGAGAAAGAGGCGGGCCCUGAGAAUUGGCUCGAGCGCGAAGGGGUGAGUGAUAGUCAUCUCUGAACUCUGAGACCCUGAGCAGCAGGAAGAUGGUGAAUAAAUGCAAGCCCCAGCUAUACAAUUACAACCUAGCCUGAGAGGAGGAAGAGGCCAGGAGGUGCAACUUCAGGUCCCAGGCGCCUCGCAACCAGCUUGCUCAUCUCAGGGUCCGCGAGACUGGGAUUUACACAAGCAGCACAGUCCCCUUGCAGAUUCUGCCUCUCUUUAAGCCCCCCUCAAACCACCACUUCAGGACAUCUUUUCUGACUCAGGGAUUUCUUUCUCCUGGGAGCAUCUGUGGACUACUGUCUCUACUCAUAUGUCCUUGUGCGUGUGUGUCUUUUUUCCUUUUUUGUCUGUCUCAAAAACAAAAAACAAACAACAACAACCAAAAAAAAACAA
rnacentral:lncRNA from 1 species